UACGUAGGGAGCAAGCGUUGUCCGGAAUCAUUGGGCGUAAAGCGCGUGUAGGCGGUUCGAUAAGUCUGCUGUGAAAGUCCAGGGCUCAACCCUGGGAUGCCGGUGGAUACUGUCGGACUAGAGUACGGAAGAGGCGAGUGGAAUUCCCGGUGUAGCGGUGAAAUGCGCAGAUAUCGGGAGGAACACCAAUUGCGAAGGCAGCUCGCUGGGACGUCACUGACGCUGAGACGCGAAAGCGUGGGGAGCAAACAGG
rnacentral:rRNA from 1 species